rnacentral:tRNA from 5 species
GGAGAAGUGACCGAGAGGCCGAUGGUGUUCCCCUGCUAAGGGAAUGUGCGGCAACGCACCGAGGGUUCGAAUCCCUCUUUCUCCGCCA